UUUUUAAAAAGUGCAGUUUUCUUUGAAUUUGUCAGAUAAGUAAAUAGUCCUUCAAAUUAAAGAUGUAAAACAAGUGAGGUUGUUUAUAGAUAUUAUCCACUAUGAAGUUACAGUAAAACUAAGCACACAAGGGAAAGUACAUUCAUAUACACAUGAAGUACACAUAUGUGUAAGAAUCAUGUUAACCACCAAAAUAUUCUCUCGUUCUUAUUACGCCUGUUUGGCAUCGUGGUGCCGGAUUCAAUUCCCUCGAGGAUGUGUCAACAUGUGAACACAACAAAGACGUCUGUGAAGAACAUCUUCACCCUGAGCAACAGAAGUGGAGCUUCAGGAUGCCGACGGAGUCCUCCCACAUUAAGAAGGAAGAGGAAUACCCUCUGAUCCCCCAUUGUAAAAAGGAAGAGGAGGACUCACUGACACCUUAUUUUAAAGAGGAAGCGGUGGAUCCACUGAGCCCUCACAUUAAAGAGGAAGAGGAGGAACACAGCAUCAGUCAAGAAUGGUUGGAGGAGUUCCAUGUGAUUGUGAAGAGUGAAGAUGAUGAGGUCAAAGGUGAGAGUGAGGAGAGGGGAGGGGGGGAGCCUCCAAGCAGCAGCUCAACUCAACACAUGACAACAGAAGCUGAUGGAGACCACUGUGGAGGAUCACAAGCAGACAAGCUCUUAGCUCCACUAUCAGAUAGUGAGGACACAACGUCACACUCUCCUGACACUGAUGAUGAAGACUCUAAAGAUGAUAAGACAUGUCACACUGACAACACACACUUCACAUGUUCUCACUGCGACAAAACUUUUAAAUAUCCUAGUUAUUUGAAAAUACACAUGAGAACGCACACUGGAGAAAAACUCUUUUCAUGCUCAGAAUGUGGUAGAGAUUUUAGACUAAAACAAAUGAUGAUAGAACACAUGAGAACACACACUGGAGAAAAACCUUUUUCAUGUUCAAUCUGCGGUAAAGAUUUUACUCAAAGGCAAAAUGUCCAAGUACACAUGAGAACACACACUGGAGAAAAACCUUUCUCCUGCUCAGAAUGUGGUAAAGGUUUUGUUCAAAAAACCCCUUUGAAAGUACACAUGAGAACACACACUGGAGAAAAACCUUAUACAUGUUCAGUAUGUUGUAAAAGUUUUAUACAAAGCCCACAUUUGAAAAAACACAUGCUAACACACACAGGUGAGAAAGUGUUGAGUUGCAGCGUGUGUGGUGAAAGAUUCUCUUCUAAGUCCCAGUGUAAGAAACACAAGUGUGCUGGUGAGAACAACAGCAGCAAAUGAAGAUGCAGGAUUUGAAAUAAACGGUCAAAACUUGAACUUUGACUUUCUAACACUAUCAGCACAUAGAUUCUAACAUUUAUAGGGUAGAUGUUUUAGAUUAUUGCUUUUUUUCAGUCAAGUACAUGUUUUAAUAUAAAACAUUUUGUACUUUUAUUUAAAAAUCAACACAACACUUUGACUGUAAAGGUGAGCGUAAACAGGACACAACAUGUUACAAAUAUUUUUUGUGUCUAUAGAGAUAUUCAGAAAUAAUUUGUAAUUAUUAAUGAUGUUAUAGAUGUACAUAUUUGAUUUACAUUUGUUCAUACUUUUGCUUUUGAGUACACAUAAAUCCCUCUUAGUUCAUAUUUACUGGUUCACAUCUGAAACAUCUUCUGGACCACUUCUGGAAGCAUAUUAUUAUUUACUUUAUACGUCAUUUGAGCGGUUGUGUUUUGUACAAGAUCAUUUACUUUUAAAAUGUGUGACUUAAAGAAUCAUUUGUUUGGUCUCAAUAAUCCAUUCUUUUAAUUGUCUUUGUUACUCUCUUUUGUAAUAUGAAUAUUAUUUUAUAUGUAUGUCUCCUUUAUGCAAUAUGUAGAUGAGAGAAAAUAGCAACAUUAUCUACACUUAUUAUAAAACAACACAUGACAAUUGUUUUUAAAGUUUUUUGUUCCACCCUUUUUUAGAAUCCCUCAAACAACAUCAAUUUCAGAAAACAUGGGAACGUUUGGAAUUUUAGGGAAAAGUCCAUAAUGUACAUCAUCCCACAGAGCUUUACUGUACAUCCAUCCAUUUUUUUCUACCACUUGUCCCUUUCAUUUUAUAUGUAUAGCCUUUAAUCACAAACUUGUCCACCAAAGGGUGUCGCGUUUUGGAGAAACUCCUUCUGUCAGAGUGCUGUUCAACACAGUAAAAAGGAACCCAAGGAUGCGCAGGACGCUGAAAAAAACACUUAUUUUCCUGCGGGAAUCUUCUCACAAAAACAAUCCAAACAGGAGGUAACCAAAAGCGACGGUGCAAAAAGAGUAAACAAAAUGUGCAUUGUGGAAAAAAGAACUAAAGCUACUUAUAUACAAAAAUAAACUCAACUUGAUUUGGAGUUACAAGACGUGCACACUACAAAACAACACCAAGAUGGAUGGCACUGGGAAUGGCCGAAGUAGCAAAAUACUGGAAGCAUAGAAUCAACUGGCGUGGAGUGGAAUCACCGAGUGCCAUCCAGUUGCCAAGGUGCUGCUUAAGUAGCACCAGGGUCAAUUGGAAGCAGCUGUGCACGUCCCACAACUCCGCCCACAAAGGCAACACAGGAACUCUAGGAGGAAGGAGAAAUGUAAGAACAAGGUCAACUGCACCAAAAGAGGAAAACUGACUGUUGGAGCCAAAUUUCCUUAUUUGUUUGUAUUGCUUUAAUUUAGUUUUUUCUAAUUGAUUGCUGGCUUCAGUUCAUGCUGAGUUUCCCUUUCGGCAGAUUCCUCCGCCCACUUCCUGUUGAGAACCAGGAAGUGUGGACAGGGUUGGGACUGUUGCUAUGGUGCGGUUGCCAUGGUAAUGUCAUUUAAUUAGGUUCAGCUGGUAAGACUCGGGGGGCCGAUUGCAUGGAGGACAAACAGUUUUGGAGCGUGUGGUGUGGUGUGUGGUCAGGUCUCGCUGCUGUGACAAUGUGCCAUUCAAGUACUGGACAUUCAAUCAUUUGCAGGCGUCAAACUGGUCAACACAGUCGCCCUCAGUAUCAGCCCAAAGGUAAGGGCUGGACAAUGAGAAUAAAAUGCCUCAUAGCCGAUUAUACAAAUGUGAUCAAUUCAUCUUGAUACUGUCCUGCCACAGUGAAUAGGUUUCCCUUUUAAAGAGAAAAUUCCUACCAGGAUCUUUUGUCCUAAUGACUGUCUGGAUAAAGUGAGGAGACUUUAAUUCAGGGAAACAAUUUAUUUUACAAAUGGACCAGAAUAAUUUUAUAUUUCUUCAAUAUAUAUGUAAGUAUGUAUAUAUAUAUUUUUUUUUCUGUCUUGCCUCUGGUGAGGGUGGUCGCAUUUUUCUCCGCUCCUUCCUUUCCCAGCUUGUUCUCUUUGUUUUUGUCUUGUCUAAACUUUUUUGAAGCCUCUUUCUUUGCGCUGUCCUCAAAUCUAAAUAUCAGACAUGGAUUUGAUCAGCUGGACUCUCGAUGCAAUUGACAAAGUCUUUUCGACAAGGAAAAGAAGUUCGGGGUAUUCUGGCUGCCCGGAUGGAACCAUUGCUGUGGGGUACGUGAGAGACUCCUGGGAUAAAUGGAGAAUUAUGUGCCUCUCAGUCCUUUCCAUCAAGGACGUGGAAAACAUCUACCUAUUUGGAACCGUGAUCGUGGGGCACCUGUUGAUUGGGCUGGGCAUUGCUCUGGUGUAUCGUCAAAUUCGUAAGACAAUGGCAGCCACUCAAGGAGCCCCAAGGCUGUUCGUCGCAAUGGAUGGUUUGGGCAGGGCUGUGGGAACACAGACUGUGGCGAUUUCUGAACUAAAUCGCUAGAUGGAUCACAUCAUGAAGAAGUUUGCUGAAAAGGAUGAUUGAAUUGAAUUUGAGAGAGCCGUGGACUAAGAACAGACGAGUCAUUGUUUGGUCUGUUCUCGAAAAACAAACAUCCUAAUCUACAAAUUGACUCCCCCGAAUGGCCUUGACGCUAGGACCAGGCUGUUCUGAAAAGCAUCCCCGAGGACAACUCAAUGAUGGACGCUUUUAACCUGCCUCCUUUCUCAACAACACCUGGAGUUGAACUUUUUCAGAUCGGCCUCAGUCUACAAAAACAUUACACCAUCACACCCAAAACAAUUGGGCACACACAACCCCUCCCCCACCCCACGCCUUCACCAGCACUUGUUUUUCCCCUCGGGGGCUACCAGACCUCCAACCCCCCCUCAAUAAAACAAAAAAUAUCAUAUUUGGAGAUUUUAAAGUUAAAGUACCAAUGAUUAUCACACACUCACUAGAUGUGGCGAAAUUAUUCUCUGCAUUUGACCCAUCACCCUUGAUCACCCCCUGGGAGGUGAGGGGAGCAGUGGGCAGCAGCGGUGCCACGCCCAGGAAUCAUUUAUGGUGAUUUAACCCCAAAUUCUAACCCUUAAUGCUGAGUGCCAAGCAGGGAGGCAAUGGGUCCCAUUUUUAUAGUCUUUGGUAUGAUUUGGCCGGGAUUUGAACUCACAACCUACCGAUCUCAGGGCGGACACUCUAACCAGUAGGCCACUGUACAAAAAUGUAAAACACAUAUUUUGAUGGCUAAUGUUGAAAUGAAAGGAAUAAAGGUAAUCACAUUUUUAGGAGUUAAUAUAGAUGAUGAAGUAAGCUGGACACUUCAUGUAAGUCAUACAAAGAAAACAUAAAAAAAAAUGGAGUGCAAUACUAAAUAGAAUAAAACACAUACUUACAAAUAUUAACUACAUUUAUUGUACCCAACUUUAGUUGAAGCAUACAUUGUUUAUUGCAUAAAGGUCUGGGGACAUACAUAUAAAACAAUCACACAACAAUAUUCUUAUUACACAAGAGAGUAAUAAAGACAAUUAAUAGAAUGGAUUAUAG